rnacentral:rRNA from 1 species
CAGUAGCCGCGGGAAUACGGAGGGUGCAAGCGUUAAUCGGAAUUACUGGGCGUAAAGCGCACGCAGGCGGUCUGUCAAGUCGGAUGUGAAAUCCCCGGGCUCAACCUGGGAACUGCAUUCGAAACUGGCAGGCUAGAGUCUUGUAGAGGGGGGUAGAAUUCCAGGUGUAGCGGUGAAAUGCGUAGAGAUCUGGAGGAAUACCGGUGGCGAAGGCGGCCCCCUGGACAAAGACUGACGCUCAGGUGCGAAAGCGUGGGGAGCAAACAGGAUUAGAUACCCGGGUAGUCCCUGUCUCUUAUAC